CCUGUGCCAUCCUGAUCACUUCCCCCGUCUCCAUCACAGAACUGGGCUGAGGAUCCCAUGAGGAAGGAGGGACCCAGGAGAUGUGUAUAGGAAAAAAUUAGAAGAGGUAAUGGAAGAAAGAGCCUUUUGAUAUUAUUGAAGCCAAGUGGGAGAGAACUGGAAAACCAUCGCACGGCUCAUACUCCAAGCCCUGGGAGAGAAGCCAUAUAUUGGAGCUCAGUUACAUUUGUGGAAUCAAUGAAGGAGCAAGCCCGUGUGUAACCUCUGUCUCGAAGGAUACAGAGCCAAAUAUCUGAUUCCUGUGCCCAAGGAGCAUGAAGGGCCGGCUGGCAUUGUGGCAUAGUGUGUUAAAAUGCCACCUGCAACACUGUCAUCCCAUGUGAGUGCUGGUUCGAGUCCCGGCUGUUCCACUUCUGAUCCAGCUCUCUGCUAUGGCCUGGGAAAGCAGUAGAAGAUGGCCCAAGUGCUUGGGACCCUGCACCCACGUGGGAGACCUGGAAGACGCUCCUGGCUCCUGGCUUUGGCCUGGCCCAACCUGGGUAUUGCAACCAUUUGGGAAGUGAACCAGUAGAUGAAAAGACCUCUCUCUGUUUCUGCCUCACUCUGUAACUCUGCCUUUCAACUAAAUA